UCUCUGCCCUCUCUCUCUCUCUAAAGACAAAUAAAUGAAAUAAAAAAUAAAAAUGUUAAGUUGCAGGUAAUUUUUCAAUACGUCAGGAGUUUUUCUGCAGUUCUUCCCCCUGCCACAAAAGUUUCUAGCAAGUGGACAGACGUAUCUUUCUUUUGUCCCACAUACUCUCGGUUUUGCCUUCUCGCUAAGGUGUAUGAUUCAAAGAGUUUCUCAAAUUGCCAACAGUUAAAUAGCAGGAAAGAAGUCUCGAAAAGAAAGCAAGUUUUCUACUAGUUUGGUGUCAGCUUUUUGAUCUGCCUAAAGACAAGAAGAUCCUUCCACACACUUCUGACCACCCGCUAAAACCAGGUCUCUGGGUUAUCUGCCCCAUGGCAAGGACCAUAUUUCAUUUAAAAAAACAAAAAAUAAAACACAAUAGAAUCAGACACUAACUCAGGAUUUUAACAACAACAUGAAAACUUGUUUCUCUGUUCCAUAAUCCCCCAUCUGCCUCGCUCAUGGCCAAAUGCCCGCGUGUACUUUUCUGCCUUUUCGGACCUGAAAAGAAAACAACAAACCCAGCAGCCCUACGAGUUAGAUGACAAGCAGGGCAGAGUCCGAGGAGACUUUAGUGUUAAGUCAACAGUGAUCAAUUAACGAUUGAGAAGAAACCCAUCUCAAUGGCUUACGCGUCCCUAGUUGGUCACUUCAAGGAAACACAGCUAGUUACAAAGCCUCUCGUCACUCACGAGUGUAAGGAAUGCAAGAGAUACUCUUGCCUAAGUCCUCCUGCUUCUCAAGAAAGACAAGGGUUCUCAGCUAUGGCUGGAAUGUUCCCAAGGAGAGACACCCGACAAAGCUGCCAGACCAGGAAGGCCAGCACAGCCUUGCGGCAGGGAGCACCCCAAGGACCUCCAAGCCCAGUCACUGAGCCCGUUUUGAAGGGCAUCAUGGAUGCACAGAAUUCCCAGCAGAAAUGGUGUGCACGUGUGCCUAACACCUCUGGGCCUAGCUCUGCUAAAAGUGGCUUCACAGAGUAUUGUCAACGCACAGGAUUUCCAGCAUCCAUUGGGAAGAAGCAACUCUUUGAGUCCCGCAGUCACAUCUGGACACACAUACACCCACCUGUCCAUGCAUCUUCCCACACACAUACAUAACUGUAUCGACACUCGUGCACGUAGACACCAAGAUACACAUCGAUUCACAUAUAAAUCCCUCUCACUCCCUGAGGAAAAGAAAAGCGCCUGUUCUUCAAGGCCCAGAGUCUUGCUCGAUGGAGCUCUCUGGCCCCGGCGGGGACGGGUCACCCCUGCGGCAACAUCACUGUCUCCAUGACUGUGAAUCCAAGCGUCAUGAGAUUCCAAAUCGCGACUUCACAGGGGUGUCGACGGCGCCUUCUAGAGGUGACGAUCUGCCAGGCUGAUGGCACUAGAUCCCUCUAAGACAGAAGUGCAGAGCAGAAAGGCCCCUUGAAUUCAGCAGCCACUAUCAAUCAUACAGCUAGUCUUGCCAACACUAGGAACUGAAAACUCAUCACCAAAGGCCCCGUUCUCUACCCACAUCCCGUAUCAGUCCCUCUGAUGCAAUAUUAUUUUAUUUUAUUGUCAGUCUUUGAAAAAAAUUGGGAAAAUAUCUGGUUUCUGAAAAAUAAGACCCUGCAUCAAAUGUGUAUUGAUAGAGAAUUCUUAAACUUUGAGGUAGAGUUACAACUCCACUAGGGGGAGCAAGAUGGCUAACUUGUCACCUGGGAGAUAGAGUGACGGUCAGGUUAUGUCAUUAAGACAAGGAACCUGGAAGAUCCACUUUGUCAAGACCUAAGAGAAGUCAAGCUUCUGAGAAAGUUCUUGGUAAUAAGAAUGUACGUACCCUCCCCCAAAUAGCUUUUCUAUUGAUCCCCAAGGGUCCAGGUUUUUAGGAAAUAAGAAUAAUGCAAUCUAAAACUCAGGUGUUAAAGUAUCAUUUCAUCACUUAAAAAACU